UGAACGCUGGCGGCAUGCCUUACACAUGCAAGUCGAACGGCAGCACGGGAGCAAUCCUGGUGGCGAGUGGCGAACGGGUGAGUAAUACAUCGGAACGUGCCCAGUUGUGGGGGAUAGCCCGGCGAAAGCGCCGGAUUAAUACCGCAUACGACCUACGUGCGCUGAAAGCGGGGGAUCGCAAGACCUCGCGCUAUUGGAGCGGCCGAUGUCGGAUUAGCUAGUUGGUGGGGUAAAAGCCUACCAAGGCUACGAUCCGUAGCUGGUCUGAGAGGACGACCAGCCACACUGGGACUGAGACACGGCCCAGACUCCUACGGGAGGCAGCAGUGGGGAAUUUUGGACAAUGGGCGCAAGCCUGAUCCAGCCAUGCCGCGUGCGGGAAGAAGGCCUUCGGGUUGUAAACCGCUUUUGUCAGGGAAGAAACGGUUUGGGCUAAUACCCCGAACUAAUGACGGUACCUGAAGAAUAAGCACCGGCUAACUACGUGCCAGCAGCCGCGGUAAUACGUAGGGUGCAAGCGUUAAUCGGAAUUACUGGGCGUAAAGCGUGCGCAGGCGGACUUUGCAAGACAGAUGUGAAAUCCCCGGGCUCAACCUGGGAACUGCAUUUGUGACUGCAAGGCUGGAGUGCGGCAGAGGGGGAUGGAAUUCCGCGUGUAGCAGUGAAAUGCGUAGAUAUGCGGAGGAACACCGAUGGCGAAGGCAAUCCCCUGGGCCUGCACUGACGCUCAUGCACGAAAGCGUGGGGAGCAA
rnacentral:rRNA from 1 species